CAGCAGCCACGGGAAUACAGAGGGUGCAAGCGUUAAUCGGAAUUACUGGGCGUAAAGCGUGCGUAGGCGGUGAGUUAAGUCUGCUGUGAAAUCCCCGGGCUCAACCUGGGAAUGGCAGUGGAUACUGGCUCGCUAGAGUGUGUCAGAGGAUGGUGGAAUUCCCGGUGUAGCGGUGAAAUGCGUAGAGAUCGGGAGGAACAUCAGUGGCGAAGGCGGCCAUCUGGGACAACACUGACGCUGAGGCACGAAAGCGUGGGGAGCAAACAGGAUUAGAUACCCCGGUAGUCCCUGUCUCUUAUAC
rnacentral:rRNA from 1 species